rnacentral:rRNA from 1 species
GGACUACCCGGGUUUCUAAUCCUGUUUGCUCCCCUUGCUUUCGCGCCUCAGCGUCAGUGUCAGCCUAGAAAACCGUCUUCACCACCGGUGUUCUUCCACAUAUCUACGCAUUUCACCGCUACACGUGGAAUUCCGUUUUCCCUAACUGAACUCUAGUCAGAGAGUUUCAAAUGCAGCUCCGGGGUUGAGCCCCGGAAUUUCACAUCUGACUUUCCUAACCGCCUACGCGCCCUUUACGCCCAGUAAUUCCGAUCAAUGCUUGCACCCUCCGUAUUACCGCGGCGGCUGGCAC